rnacentral:rRNA from 1 species
UUAAAUUGAGAGUUUGAUCCUGGCUCAGGACGAACGCUGGCGGCGUGCUUAACACAUGCAAGUCGAGCGAUGAAGUUCCCUUC